rnacentral:rRNA from 1 species
UACGGAUGGUGCAAGCGUUAUCCGGAUUUACUGGGGUUAAAGGGAGCGCAGGCGGAUUGGUAAGUCAGUGGUGAAAUACCCGUGCUUAACAUGGGAACUGCCAUUGAUACUAUCAGUCUUGAAUAUCGUUGAGGUUUGCGGAAUGGGUCAUGUAGCGGUGAAAUGCAUAGAUAUGACCCGGAACACCUAUUGCGAAGGCAGCAGGCUAAACGAAGAUUGACGCUGAGGCUCGAAAGCGUGGGGAUCAAACAGG